rnacentral:misc_RNA from 1 species
GAUGAAGAACGUAGCGAAAUGCGAUACGUAAUGUGAAUUGCAGAAUUCAGUGAAUCAUCGAAUCUUUGAACGCACCUUGCGCCCUUUGGCUAUUCCGAAGGGCAUGCCUGUUUGAGUAUCGUGAACACCUCAACUCUCAUGGUUUGCCAUGAUGAGCUUGGACUUUGGGGGUUUUGCUGGCCUUUGGUCGGCUCCUCUCAGACGGAUCAGCUUUCCAGUGUUUGGUGGCGUCACGGGUGUGAUAACUAUCUACGCCUGUGGUUUUCUGCCAGAUAACCUUCAGCGAUGGAGGUUCGCUGGGGCUCAUAAAUGUCUCUCUUCAGUGGAGACAGCUUUUUGGACGUUUGAUCUCAAAUCAGGUAGGACUACCCGCUGAACUUAAGCAUAUCAAUAAGCGGAGGA